rnacentral:rRNA from 1 species
CACGGGGGGAGCAAGCGUUGUUCGGAAUCACUGGGCGUAAAGGGCGUGUAGGCGGUCAGGUAAGUGAGAUGUGAAAUGCCCCGGCUCACCCGGGGACCGGCAUCUCAUACUGCUUGGCUUGAGUACGGGAGAGGAUGUGGGAAUUCCUGGUGUAGCGGUGAAAUGCGUAGAUAUCAGGAGGAACACCGGUGGCGAAGGCGCACAUCUGGCCCGAUACUGACGCUGAGGCGCGAAGGCCAGGGGAGCAAACGGG